UGGAGUUAAGAAUUCCCACCAUCAUUUCUCCUCACUCUUCAUCUCUCCUCCCCCGACCCCCAACUAAUUCAGAGCUUUUAGCCAAAAUAAAAGCAAAUUUGGACCAAAACAAAAAUCUUAUAAGAAACAUGUAUGUUAUUAUAGAAUGCAUCUUAAAAGAUUUAUUUUUAAGAAUUAAACAAGGUGAGUCAAUGGUCCAUUUCAACUUAACCAGUCUUCCAACUACAACUGACCAGCUACUAAAAGUAAAUCAAAACAAAUCCAUCCCGUGUGUGUGUGAGAGAGAGAGAGAAGAGAGAGAGAAAAGAGACAGAGAGGAGAGAAAGGAGAGAGAGAGAGAGAGAAAGAGAGAGAGAUCCCUGAAGAAGUAACAUCACUGCCCUACAUAUCUUCAGUUUUAUGAACAGCAAGAAAUAAGAAAGGAUCGUAGAGGCAGACUAAUUCUAGAUCAAAGUAAAAAAUAAAAAAUCCCACAACAUCUGACUAAGGGAAAGGGUGGUAUUUAUGUGGGAAGCAUAUCAGCAUAAUUACUGCAGUGGAAAAGAACUCAUACCUGGCAAUAUACAAUCCCAGUGUCUGCCUAAAGAAAGCUGUUGCACCAGGGUCAUGGCCAGAAGCCAUUGGGCAUCCCAGGAGGCAAUUAAUUCCCUCUCACUCCCUUACAGGCUCCCACCAGUAUCACCUGCUCCAGAGUGCCCUCAAAUUCCAGUUCUGUCCUAACCAAAAGCAUAAUGUAACAGUAAAAUUCUCAUGCCACCGAUUCAUACAGGAAAACCUGACCAGCACAAGAAAUUUGGAGAAAUUUACAAAGGGAGUAACUGCACAGCAUGCAAAGAUGAAGAAACCAAAGCCAAAAGAUCGGAAGUGAACUGCUCAACCUGUGAUUUCAUCAGUGGAAGGCACUCAUGAGGAAUAAGGAUCUCAUUUCUACCAAUGUGGAUCAGUACCUGAUCUAUAACCUAUAUAAUCUUGGAGAUUUGCCUAAGG